rnacentral:pre_miRNA from 1 species
CAACUACUCCCUCCGUUCGGAAUUACUUGUCGCGGAAAUGGAUGUAUCUAGACGUAUUUUAGUUCUAGAUACAUCCAUUUCUGAGACAAGUAAUUCCGAAUGGAGGGAGUACAAA